rnacentral:lncRNA from 1 species
AUGGGAGGCGCCCCCGCGCUCGGCUCCGCCAAUCAGAUGGCGAGGACGGCGUCCCCCGUCCCCAUGGAGACCGAGGGGGGGAGCGCGGGAGAGGAGCCCCCGGGCCCGGCCAUGGAGCGCGGAGCGCGGCGGGGGACGGAGACCCCCAGAGGGGUGGCUCUGACCGGCUGUGUGCCCCCAAAGCAUGGGGGGGACCCCCGGGAUGAGCCCCCCCCGUGCACCGUGAGGAUGCGGGGGGACGUGCUGCUGCCCGUGGGGGGCUCGUGCCGGGGGGACGCGGCUGGGGAGCCCCCCGGGGUGGUGGUGGUGGACGGCGGUGAGGAGCCGGGCGCAGACGAGGAGCAGCAGGAGGAGCAGGAGGCCGCAGCCGAGGAGGUCCCAAAGGUGCUGGCUGUGGCCACGGAGCCCCCCCGAGGUGCCGGCCCCGAUGGCCGUGCAGGUCGUGCCCCGCGGGAGCUGCUUGAUCCACAACUGGCAGGAGGAGAGAGCCACCAACGACCUGGACCAGGUGCCGGUGCCGGAGAUGGGCAGCGAGGGCUUCGUCCACCGGCACGGCCACCGCGGGCUGCUGACCCUCCAGCCACCAGCCCAGCCGCCCCCCAGCAGCACCACCAAGCAGGCCUUUCGCCCGCCCCACAGCGUCCCGAUGCUGGCGAGAGGGCAGCGGGAGGCCAUGCUGGAGCUGAUGCUCUACCAGAAGUACAGGCAGGAGCUGCUGGAGGAGAUGUCCCCACCCCGUGCGCCCAUGGAGAGCCUCUCCACCACGCACCGGGAUUUCCAGGCAGGGGGCUUCCAGCCCACGCCGCCGCCCACCACCCAGCCCCACGACUACCGCACGGAGCAGCCCUGCAGCUUCUGGCUGGAGCAAGCCCGCAGCGUGCCCGGCGUCACCUGCAUCCGCACCGGGGACAGCCCCUUUCGGAGGAACGCUGCCUUCUCCACCCCCAUCACCGAGUACCUGGAGCAGCCCCUGCCCCACGUCGCCGAAAGCUACGGGGUGCGGCCGAGCAAGCAAUAAAGAGCAGGCGGUGUCCCUGCCCUGGCACCCAAGGGUGUCCCUGCGACCCUGCGCACCUUGGCUGUCCCCUGUGGGGCAGGGGACCCCGAUAA